rnacentral:rRNA from 1 species
UACGGGGGGGGCAAGCGUUGUUCGGAAUUACUGGGCGUAAAGGGUUUGUAGGUGGCUUGUUAAGUCAGACGUGAAAUCCCUCAGCUUAACUGGGGAACUGCGUCUGAUACUAGCGAGCUUGAGUGCAGGAGAGGAACGCGGAAUUCCAGGUGUAGCGGUGAAAUGCGUAGAUAUCUGGAGGAACACCGGUGGCGAAGGCGGCGUUCUGGACUGCAACUGACACUGAGAAACGAAAGCCAGGGUAGCAAACGGG